UGGGGAAUAUUGCGCAAUGGGGGGAACCCUGACGCAGCCAUGCCGCGUGAAUGAAGAAGGCCUUCGGGUUGUAAAGUUCUUUCGGUAUUGAGGAAGGUUGAUGUGUUAAUAGCACAUCAAAUUGACGUUAAAUACAGAAGAAGCACCGGCUAACUCCGUGCCAGCAGCCGCGGUAAUACGGAGGGUGCGAGCGUUAAUCGGAAUAACUGGGUGUAAAGGGCACGCAGGCGGUUAUUUAAGUGAGGUGUGAAAGCCCUGGGCUUAACCUAGGAAUUGCAUUUCAGACUGGGUAACUAGAGUACUUUAGGGAGGGGUAGAAUUCCACGUGUAGCGGUGAAAUGCGUAGAGAUGUGGAGGAAUACCGAAGGCGAAGGCAGCCCCUUGGGAAUGUACUGACGCUCAUGUGCGAAAGCGUGGGGAGCAAACAGGAUUAGAUACCCUGGUAGUCCACGCUGUAAACGCUGUCGAUUUGGGGGUUGGGGUUUAACUCUGGCGCCCGUAGCUAACGUGAUAAAUCGACCGCCUGGGGAGUACGGCCGCAAGGUUA
rnacentral:rRNA from 1 species